CCUGGUUGAUUCUGCCAGUAGUCAUAUGCUUGUCUCAAAGAUUAAGCCAUGCAUGUCUAAGUAUAAGCAAUUUGUACGGUGAAACUGCGAAUGGCUCAUUAAAUCAGUUAUAGUUCAUUUGAUAGUACCUUACUACAUGGAUACCUGUGGUAAUUCUAGAGCUAAUACAUGCUUAAAACCCCAACUUCGGAAGGGGUGUAUUUAUUAGAUAAAAAACCAAUGCCCUUCGGGGCUCCUUGGUGAAUCAUAAUAACUUAUCGAAUCGCAUGGCCUUGCGCUGGCGAUGGUUCAUUCAAAUUUCUGCCCUAUCAACUUUCGAUGGUAGGAUAGUGGCCUACCAUGGUGGCAACGGGUAACGGGGAAUUAGGGUUCGAUUCCGGAGAGGGAGCCUGAGAAACGGCUACCACAUCUAAGGAAGGCAGCAGGCGCGCAAAUUACCCAAUCCCGACACGGGGAGGUAGUGACAAUAAAUACUGAUACAGGGCUCUUUUGGGUCUUGUAAUUGGAAUGAGUACAAUCUAAAUCCCUUAACGAGGAGCAAUUGGAGGGCAAGUCUGGUGCCAGCAGCCGCGGUAAUUCCAGCUCCAAUAGCGUAUAUUAAAGUUGUUGCAGUUAAAAAGCUCGUAGUUGAACCUUGGGUCUGGCUGGCCGGUCCGCCUCACCGCGUGCACUGGUCCGGCUGGACCUUUCCUUCUGGGGAGCCCCAUGGCCUUUACUGGCUGUGGGGGGAACCAGGACUUUUACUUUGAAAAAAUUAGAGUGUUCAAAGCAGGCCUUUGCUCGGAUACAUUAGCAUGGAAUAAUAGAAUAGGACGUGCGGUUCUAUUUUGUUGGUUUCUAGGACCGCCGUAAUGAUUAAUAGGGAUGGUCGGGGGCGUCAGUAUUCGGCUGUCAGAGGUGAAAUUCUUGGAUUUGCUGAAGACUAACUACUGCGAAAGCAUUCGCCAAGGACGUUUUCAUUGAUCAGGGAACGAAAGUUAGGGGAUCGAAGACGAUCAGAUACCGUCGUAGUCUUAACCAUAAACUAUGCCGACUAGGGAUCGGACGCUGUUUUUAUGAUGACCCGUUCGGCACCUUACGAGAAAUCAAAGUUUUUGGGUUCUGGGGGGAGUAUGGUCGCAAGGCUGAAACUUAAAGAAAUUGACGGAAGGGCACCACAAGGCGUGGAGCCUGCGGCUUAAUUUGACCCAACACGGGGAAACUCACCAGGUCCAGACAAAAUAAGGAUUGACAGAUUGAGAGCUCUUUCUUGAUCUUUUGGGUGGUGGUGCAUGGCCGUUCUUAGUUGGUGGAGUGAUUUGUCUGCUUAAUUGCG
rnacentral:rRNA from 1 species